ACCCCUUAUUAUUAUUUAUAAUGUACUGUUGGGACAUCACAUAUAUUAUUUUUAUAUCAAGCUAUUUUGAACCAUAUUAACUAAUCCUUAAUUGAACGGUAUAUGGUCUCUUUGUAUUCAUGAAUUUAUUGCUCUUUUUAGCAUUUACAUAAAUUGUUUUGUAUACUUUUUCUGUGAUGAUUGUAGCCACGUCUGCCUGGAGUCUCCGGGGAUAGAUGUACACCUCUGGACCCAUGUUUUGACGUGUACGGUCGGAACAGCCAAUCUGAGCGGACCUCGCUCGAUAUGGCUAGUGAGGAGUGUUAGGAGGGAGGUUCAUCUGUGUACGUUGCCAGCCAGUCAUUGUUUACAAUGAGCUGUGCUUGCUAUUCGGGACACGCCCCACCAAUACCUAUUGGUGGGUCUCCCCUCCUGCUUCCUCCCUCCUCGGUGACACCAAUCGUAUGCCCGCCCUUGCUACGGCGUCAUUUGACGCUUGCAGGGCCUUCAGCAUUCUGAUUGGCCCGCCGGGAUUUCGACCGGAUCACGUGAUGCGGAAGCCCCGACCGCACACGUGAUCGGAGACGCAUAUAUAUAUGGGGAUGGGAUUCCCCACAAACCAGAAACAUUUUUCUAUAUCCUGCUGCAAUAUCGAUUCGGCGGUCCGGCUGGUAGGUUUAUAAUUGUCUGCCUACAACCAUAAUUAUUCCUAUUUAACUUUGGAUGCAUUCCAGUGCUGCUUUUUGGAUCUUAUAUAUCUAGCCUUUUUUCUCAUACAAAUUUUCUCUUUCUCUCUUGUUUUUUUGCUUUGUAUAGGUGUGUCCAUUGCUCAGUUUCCCAAAUGUUUUAUGGUUUUUGUCUGUUCAGAAUUUUUUUCUGACACUUAUGGGACAAAUGUCCCCCUCUUAUCUGACUUUACUUGCCUUUGUUGCUUGUAAUAUUCAGUCAUCUACACUAUAACCUACGCACCUACUUACUGAUCGUUUUUGGACAAUCCACCAGCCGUCUCUAACAUCAAAACCGCUUGAUAAAAGGAAAAUUACGCAACUUUAUUUAUUUUACACUUUAUCAUUUCUUAAUGAGUUCAAUCCUAAACCAUCUCCAUUACCGUGGAUGAACUAUCAAUAGCUCCUGAUGAAGCGGAUCUUCCCGCAAAACAUGUAGAGCUUGCCCUGAAUACUAAUAUAUAUGAUAGUCAUCACUCUGUUGAUGCCUUCUUUGGACCAGUUUUUGGUUUAUAAGUGUUUUGUAAUCAUUGUAAUUUAUGUGAUUUUUUAUUUUUUAUACUGUUUAUGUAUUUUUAUCCAAUGUAAUUAUUUAGUGUUGAUGCAACUACCCAUGCUGGGUUUGUUUCAAUAAAUAACAUUUUCACAACGAUUAGUGCCUAGAAAGUCCAUCUUAUUGUCCCUCCAACAACAACCUUUCUUGCUUUAGUCAAGGACGUGGCA